UUUCGUGUCCCGCGCGCGCCAUAUCCAAGACUUAAGAUACUUUUGGUUUUAUUUAUUUUUAUUUACUUAAUUUUUGUUUCUUUCUAGAAGUCUCACUAUCUCUCAUUUCUAUCUCCUCUCAUUUUUUUCUUUUUUUGUGGACAGAAUCUCUCUCAGCUUUCUCUCUUUCGUUACUCUCUCCCUCUCAUCUCCAUUCUCAAAUCUCUCAUCUCUCUCUCUUGCUCUAUCACAGACACCGUCGGUCACCGCUCUCCGUCACCGGUAGGUCCUCUCUCUAGCUCUCUCACUCUCUCUGAUCUCUUUUUCUUAGAUCUAAAAUCUCUUCAGCCUUCCAAGAAGCCUCAAAUGGGGUUCUUCAUGCUCUCACCAAAGUUAUGAAGGUUGCAUUGUAUGAGCAGAAUGACAAACCUUCUUCUGCCCUUGAGUAUACUGCAAGGAGCCGGCAUCACUUUCUUCUUUGUAUUUUUUUUUUUUUUUUUUAAUGAUGUAUUUGUAUUUAGUUUUAUUUGUAUUUAUAUAUUUUUUUUUUUUUUUUUCAUUUU